UAAUACGUAGGAGGCGAGCGUUAUUCGGAUUUACUGGGCGUAAAGAGGGCGUAGGUGGCUUUUCAAGUUGGGUGUAAAAUCUCUCCGCUUAACGGAGAGGGAUCAUCUGAUACUGUUGGGCUAGAGGGCAGCAGAGGGAGGUGGAAUUCCCGGUGUAGCGGUGAAAUGCGUAGAUAUCGGGAAGAACACCAGCGGCGAAGGCGGCCUCCUGGGCUGUUUCUGACACUGAGGCCCGAAAGCGUGGGGAGCGAACAGGAUUAGAUACCCUGGUAGUCCACGCUGUAAACGAUGGACACUAGGUAUAGGGAGUAUCGACCCUCUCUGUGCCGUAGCUAACGCGUUAAGUGUCCCGCCUGGGGACUACGGCCGCAAGGCUA
rnacentral:rRNA from 1 species